rnacentral:lncRNA from 10 species
GAAACUGCUUUGUUGAGAUAUAAUUGUAUAUUCCACAUUUUGCUUAAUGAUGAAUACGUGGGUUGCAUCCACAUUUCAGCUGUUGUGAAUAGUGCGGCUAUGAACAUGGCUGUAGAAACAUCUCUUCAAGGCCCUGUUUCCAUUUCUUUGGGUAUAUACUCAGAAGUGGAAUUACUGGAUUAUAUGCAUAGAGUAUAUGAGGACUCUCAUGUUUCAAAGGCUAAAUGGUCUGAGCUUUAACUCAGUGCCUCAUCUUCAUUUUACCUCAAGACUAAUGAAAGACAGUGAAAAAGAGAAUGACAGAAAAUUCCCUCAUAAUUUCUGGCUUCGACUUUCAACUUACAGGACUGAAAAUUACUGGCAAUCUUUGCUAAACUCAAAAGAUUCUGUAAUAGAGAUGUGUACACAGCGCUGGAGAAGUGGAGAAGAGGAAGUCUUGCCAGAUACUGGCAUAUUUUGACUCACCUGUGCUUGUUCUUCCAUCUGUCUUUCUCUUCCUGCGUUCCCAAAUUGUAAACUCUUAUAAUCCUUCAAGUCCAUGGUCAGAUAUUAAUUUCCAUUUAAGUUUUAUCCUGUUCAUGCAAUCACUUUUAACUCUAUGGUUUUU